rnacentral:lncRNA from 1 species
AUAAAAAUAUUAAGUUUUAAACACAUAAUUUAAUUAACGACGUAAGACACAGAAUUUCAUUCGUUACGAUUCACAAAUUUCGAUUACAUUUAAAGAAGGUAAAUUAACUGUGGUCAUGUUUAAUUCAAACGAACAUCGAAAUUUUUUUUUGCAUUACUGGUAUUUUUUGUAAUGAAGAAAUGUCCAAUUAAUUGCAAGAAAGCUUAAAUGGCAUAAAACGUUAAUUUUUAAUAGAAAAGAUCGAAAUAAUGGAAAGUAUUGUCUUCCGUAACAAUAAAAUAUUAGGCUAGUGUUCUUGUGAUUGUUUGCGGACAAUUAAUCUUUGUAAAGAUAAAAUUUUUAUUUCAAGGAAAUGUAGAUCUCUUCACGAGUCACUUCAAUCGAUUCGCAAACAUCGUGGUUUUGGUUUUCGUCAGACUCUACACAUCAAUUAGCAAUGAUAUCACAUCAAUAGAGAAAAACGAUCGUCGACGAUUCCAGAUGAAGAAUGUAAAACGAUUUAUUCUUGAUUCUGAGAGGACAGAGCUUUCGCCAGACACUCCAACUACAGUUCUAUUUCUAAAUUUGAUCUGCAGGUGGUGUGUCCAACAAGGUAAGUGUUAAAAGCAUUAAUUGCCCUCGGAUUCUAACGAUAAUUAUUCUUUCAAAGAGAAAGAAAUAGAGAAGAAACAGACUUUAUUCAGAGGAAUGAAGAGAAAGAAAUUGAGGAGAAUGGGGAUAAGUGAAAGGUAAAAGGAAUUUGGAAAGAGAGAAAAUAUGUUGUCCCGCGAAACUGAGUCCGUCUAUUCACCAGAGGAUCAACCUCAAAGGGCAGAUCCAAUCCCAAGUUUUCCUAAUAAGAAAAACGUGGACAACAAUUUCGACUUGUUGAAGAGCAAAUGCAAACCAUUUUAAAUCAGUGGCAAUAUUUUAAAAUAUUGCCACUGAUUUAAAAUGCAUUGUCAUUUGCUCUCAACGCUUCCAUUCGCUCCAAGGGAGCGAAUGGAAGCGUUGAGUCCAAAUUAAGUUAUUGAUGGCAGCGGAUAUUCCUCAGGUCAAACAAAAUUUAGCAGGUGAAAGUGAAGAAUUGUGUUGUAUGGAAUCUAACUCCCAUUCAGGAGACGUCUUUUCUUAGCACUUUUAUGCCAGUAACGUAAAGAUGAAAGCACUGAGUACAAGACACUGUUCAUUAGAUACGUAAGCAGAGAAGAUCAGUUUUCCUCCGUUUCGAUUACGUUUGUUAUAAUGUGUACAAUAGAAUAGAAGAACAAAUGAAACAGGUAAGUUCUGAGCUUUCUAUACCCAGUGAGAAUUUUUUCAGGUAGUACUUGGGAGAAAGAUAGUUCAGUUUGUGUUGGUGUAUUCGACGGUUGAAUUCGUAGUUAAUUUUUUCUAUAAUUUUCGUCAUACUAUCUUCUAUAGAGAUAGUAUGUUCUUAUAGCUUAUCAUCGUACUUAUAGAUUUUUGAAAACUUUGUGAAAUAAAUUUUACAAAUUGAAGAAAUUGUAUCUUUUUGUCUUGACGUUCCAAAAAUUUCAGUUUAGCCUAGGAACUGAGAGGAAAUCAAUUAUAAAAAUUGGUGAUACUUCUGAAAAUAGUUUGAAUAUUAACUAGAAGUUUGCCAUUAUUAAGAAGUAUUAGAAAUGAAAUGAAGGGCCAUAAUGUUGUCACUAGGAUUGAUACUCCGAAACGCCUUAGGAGUUUGCACAUGAUUUUCCCUAUUAAUCGGAUUUGUGUGACCUUUUCCCUCCAGAGCAGUUGUUUGAUAUGACUGGCAGGAUGAUCGUAAUCUGUGGGACUGAUCUGCAUGACCUAACACAGCCCGAACAAGUACAUCUGCUUUCUUAUUUAUCCGAUUGCCACAGUGUUCUCUCAGCCAGUUGAAGAAAUAAUGAUUGGUGCUGGAGAUACAGGUGUUUAAGAUUUUCCUGGUGAGUGGGUGUAAGCUGUUCUUAUUCUGCAAAGUCAAAACGGUGACGAUCUAUCAGAGAAGACUACCACUCCUUUUUUUGAGAGUGUUACCUCGCACCACUGAAUGGAUUAAAUGAAUGCAAGCAAUUAGGAAGUAAAGUGCUAGCUAUGCUCGUAGUGAAUCUUUAUUUCAUUGAGAUAAGUCAAAAUGCAGAAUCACUUCCAGUGAAUUUCUUCGAACCAUCAGUAUAUGUGUUGCAUAUUUGAAGAGUGCAAUCUAUACCUUAGGUAGGACGAGGAAGCUUAUUGCAGCAAAUUUUAGUUUUAGAAAACGGCAUAGAAGUUGAUGGAGAAGACAGUGAUGUCAUUUCCUUUGGCAACAAGAUAGCGUGAUCCAGCAUAUUCUACACAACGAUUAAUUUGCAGAGUUUUGCUCAAGACAUGUAAGGACACAGUUAAGGCUGUUGAAUAUGAUUGAGCCAUAAGCGGAAAUGCUUUUCUUCGGGCACUUUGUAGCCGUUGCACGUGGCGAGAUUGUUGGCUGGCAAACCUACAGAUAAUCGAAACGUAUGUGGUUAUUAGGAUAAAGACAACAUUGCAGAUGGGAUCAAGUGCAUCGUGGUUGAGACCCCAGUUUUUGGCCACCAUACAGAGUGAAUUGACGAUGAGACAAAUUUCCAGCUCAUAUACAAUAGUGCUAACAGCAGAAUGAACUGAACUUCAAAAUAGAUAAGAAUCAAUCACAAGACAUCGGUUUGAUUCCUGGUUCUUAGGUAAAGCUUUAAUAGAACUUUUCAAUAGCUGCUCGUAAACAGCAAAAGAGCUGUUGUCGGACACUUAAUCUGGAAAAAUACUUUCGUGGCAAAUCCAAUUUUUACUGUUUUAUUGAUGCAAUUGAUAUUAAUGGGAAUGUCCAACUGCGGUUUCAGGAAAGUCGUUACCCGAAUGGAAAAUGGAUCGUUAACGAAUCGUCGAUCCCCUAAGGAACAAAGACAAAAUCAAAACUACAAUGAGAUGAUAUGAAUUAGCCUAAACUGGGGUCGAAUGCAAUUAACGGAAAGUAGGGAGAAGAUCAGAGUCAUAGUUCUAUAUCAUAAUAAGAAUUAAUAGCUUAAGUUUUUAAUUUUUUGCUUAUACUAUAAGGUUUAAAAUGCUUAACAUAAAUCACGAGAUCGACGGAGUAUUUUUGGGGUUGGAAUGGGUAGAGGACGAGGAAAGAGAAUGACAAAAAUCAUUAUUGGUCGUUUUACCUAUAUAUGCGCGAGAUCCAGUUUUUCUCUCUAC